UAAGGGAUAUUGGUCAAUGGGGCGGGAGCCUGAACCAGCCAUGCCGCGUGAGGGAAUGAGGCCCUACGGGUCGUAAACCUCUUUUGCCGGGGGAUAACGGGCGCCACGGGUGGCGCCGUGAAGGUACCCGGAGAAUAAGCAUCGGCUAACUCCGUGCCAGCAGCCGCGGUAAUACGGAGGAUGCAAGCGUUAUCCGGAUUUAUUGGGUUUAAAGGGUGCGUAGGCGGUAUGGUAAGUCAGUGGUGAAAUGUCUCCGCUCAACGGUGAAAGUGCCAUUGAUACUGUCGUACUUGAAUUCGGAUGCCGUGGGAGGAAUGUGUAGUGUAGCGGUGAAAUGCAUAGAUAUUACACAGAACACCGAUUGCGAAGGCAUCUCACGAAUCCGACAUUGACGCUGAGGCACG
rnacentral:rRNA from 1 species